rnacentral:rRNA from 1 species
AACGAACGCUGGCGGCAUGCCUAACACAUGCAAGUCGAACGAGACCUUCGGGUCUAGUGGCGCACGGGUGCGUAACGCGUGGGAACCUGCCUUUAGGUUCGGAAUAACUCAGAGAAAUUUGAGCUAAUACCGGAUGAUGUCUUCGGACCAAAGAUUUAUCGCCUUUAGAUGGGCCCGCGUUGGAUUAGCUAGUUGGUGGGGUAAAGGCCUACCAAGGCGACGAUCCAUAGCUGGUCUGAGAGGAUGAUCAGCCACACUGGGACUGAGACACGGCCCAGACUCCUACGGGAGGCAGCAGUGGGGAAUAUUGGACAAUGGGCGAAAGCCUGAUCCAGCAAUGCCGCGUGAGUGAUGAAGGCCUUAGGGUUGUAAAGCUCUUUUACCCGAGAUGAUAAUGACAGUAUCGGGAGAAUAAGCUCCGGCUAAUUCCGUG